rnacentral:rRNA from 1 species
UAAACUAGGAUUAGAUACCCUAUUAUUUUAAACGUUAAUUUACCUGGGUAAUAAUAGUUAUGUUCUUUAAACCUAAAGAAUUUGGCGGUGUUUUAGUCUAUUUAGAGGAAUCUGUCCCGUUAUCGAUAGUCCACGUUUUAUUUUACUUAGAAUUGUUUAUCAGUAUGUAUACCGCCGUUAUAAGUUUAUUUUUUUAGGAAUUUUAAUUUACUUUAUUCAUUAUUUUGAUUUAUUUCAGGUCAAGGUGCAGCUAAUUUUUAAGUGGAGAUGGAUUACAAUAUUAUAUUAAUAUAUGGAUUUAAAAUUGAAAUUAUUUUAUUGAAAGUGGAUUUAUUAGUAAUUUUAUUUAUUAUGUUAAUUUGAAUUUAGCUCUAAAACAAGUACACAUCG